rnacentral:lncRNA from 10 species
GGUGCAUUGUGGAAGUCAACAAGUAAGUUUUGUUAAAUUUGAGUAAGAAGACCUGUUUGUUUCCUCAAGUUGCUUAUAAUCUAGGUGAGGACACAUCUGAGAGAAUAACUAAUAGUUCAGUGAAGUUAAAAACAACAACAACAACAACAAAAACACAAAACCCUGAGGCUCAGAAGAUAAAUAUUUGCUGAAGAUCACUGUGCUUAUUAGAUGGGUGUUACUGAUUCUUACCUCAGAGAAGAGAAUGUCAUGGAGACAAAAUGACCUGCUUAGAGUUCUGCACCCCCCAGCAUGGAGAGCAGAGCGCAAAGAUUUCUUCCGGACUCCCACAUUCCCCUUGGAAUCCAAGAACUGGUCUACUGUCACAACACUUUAGUACCCUCUUAGAUGGGGAUCUCACUCUGUUGCCCAGGCUGGUCUCAAACUCCUGGCUUCAAGCAAUCCUCCUGCUUCGGCCUCCCAAACUUCUGGGAUUACAGAUAUGAGCCACCACGGCUGGCUGACAGGCACCAAAUUCUAGGAGAGGACUUGAAUAGACUCCCAAGGAGGCAGCAGAAACUGGGGUAAUCACAACGGUCAACAGCAGCAAAGGCAGCACUUUCUG